UAUCGCUUACUUCCGGUCUACUUCCGGAAAAUUUGCAUAAAACUAGCAAGUGAGCUUUGUUCUCAAUACUGCUCUCAAGAUUGAUUGCUAGGUUUUGGCGAACAAAAAUGCGCUUUUCAAGUUAUGUGAGUAUGUUAAGACCAGCCCUUCAAAUACUGAGUUUUUAGACGUGUCUAAUAGAUGGCGUGUCGAUUAUUGUGUCAGUUAUGGGCUUAUGGCGUUUUGCUGUCAGAAGUUAAGUUAUCUUUUCUUCGAAAAUUACCAAUGAAUUCAUAGUCUGAUAACUGAAAACUUACAGUCUGAAUGUCGUGCAGCCGGCCGUCAACUAUUUUGUUCAAACUCAUUGUAUUCUACUGAAUGUGCCAUCGAAAUGAUACAGGAUUCAUCAUAAUUAUCGGCUGUUUCUAUUGGACUUGCUAGAUCACCAACCCCAGCAUG